rnacentral:rRNA from 1 species
UGGGGAAUAUUGGACAAUGGAGGAAACUCUGAUCCAGCAAUUCUGUGUGUGUGAAGAAGGUUUUAGGACUGUAAAACACUUUUAGUAGGGAAGAAAAAAAUGACGGUACCUACAGAAGAAGCAACGGCUAAAUACGUGCCAGCAGCCGCGGUAAUACGUAUGUUGCGAGCGUUAUCCGGAAUUACUGGGCGUAAAGGGUACGUAGGCGGUUUUUUAAGUCAGGUGUCAAAGCGUGGAGCUUAACUCCAUUAAGCACUUGAAACUGAAAGACUUGAGUGAAGGAGAGGAAAGUGGAAUUCCUAGUGUAGCGGUGAAAUGCGUAGAUAUUAGGAGGAAUACCGGUGGCGAAGGCGACUUUCUGGACUUUUACUGACGAUCAGGUACGAAAGCGUGGGGAGCAAACAGG